CAAUCGACCCGGAAGAGGUCGGUACUUGAUAGGAAUACUUUCCCAUGUUUUCCUACCCAUCAAAAUUGCAUUUUGUUUCCCAGGAUCCGAUGUGGCCAGUGUAAUCUCCUUGAAAAACUUGAGAUCACAAGGCAAUCUCCAAGGUAACUUUCCAUCCUUUCCAAUCCCCAUAUCUCGAGUAGCAGCCACCACAACUUGGUAACUCCUCAUUGGAAUCUCACCCGCUAUAGCAGUAAAUCGUCUGUAAUUUGAAGUUAAGAUUUGAAAUUUAAACAGCGGUGAGGUUGCAGCCAAAGAAGCUGAAUUGCAGAAGCUAGUUUUGCUAGAAUUCAGUAAAACCUAAAAGAAAAAAUUAGGCAUGCAAUUAGGGUAACUAUAUUAAUUGGAAAAUAAAUAAAAAAUCCAAGAAAAAAAAAAACUUUUGUGAAAAGUGAAAAACCUUUGACAGGAAUAGAGUCAAGGUUGUUAAAAUGGCACGAAAAAUGCAAAAUAAACUCGAGUAAAAUCGUAAAAAAAUUGAAAAAAAAUUGUACUUCAAAUAAAAAUUCAUACAUGGAUUUUUUAAGCCUUCACAGUUGAACUCACCAAAUAAUUGAAUGGCAAUAAAACAAAAGUGGUUGCAAAGCAAAUAUAUAAUGUCAACAAAAGCACUGAUGGUAAAGAAAAGCUAAAAAAGGUCACUGAGUUUGAAAUAGUAUCUUUGAGAGGGAAUCCAUGGGUUAAGAAAAAUAAUAUAUGAAGGCUAACAAAAAUAUAUGAAUCGAAUUAAGAAAGAAAUUGUGGUGAAAUAUAUGCUCCGCUUUAUAUGAAGGAGAAAAUCACAAUGCAUUGGCACCAAUACCCUCAUUCGUAGUCUGAUAAAUACGACCCAAGCUUGAAAGCAUAAGGCAGGCAAUGCAAAUGAGACAAAAAUGAGAAAGAGUAAAUAGAUAUUAGAAAAUUCCACAUAGCAGUCAUAUGUGGUUUAAACCUUUUUUAGAUGAGAAAACUGACUAGUUCAAGUCUAUUUAAAUAAAAAGAAGCUCUAAUAAGAACAUCAUAUGAGCUGCAGAACCGACUCUAUGCAAAACUCCAGGUUGACUCCCGCCAGAAAAUACUGGAUAAGAUGCACUGUUAAAUGGGAUACAAGGCUGCACUAUAUAAUUAAGUAGCAGUCUCCCAACAACAAAAUUAACCAAUGAACUUUCCAGCAAAUUAUGGAAGACGUCCAUAAUAAGAUUACAAGAUGUAAACAAUUCUGAACUUAGAGCAAGAAAUAAAGCCAAAGGUCAUCCACUAACCUGAACCAUGGCUGCAUCAAUAAAAGGGUUUGUGUCACUUGGUCCAAGAGAUGGUCAGUAGAGAAGUUGGGUUGACAUUACAAUAAGCAUGAAAUUGAGCAACUCGUGAUGUAGAAGCCAGAAGGUAUGUGUUUGAACUUGGAACAAAAAUAAUGCAUUUUAGAAGAUCAAAUUGCACAAAAUCUUAACAUAGUGAGCAUGGUGAGAAAUCCAUGGUGUACCUUACUUCAACAGAGCAUGGAACAAAAGUACACUAUGCAUGACAAGAUUUUCGAUGUUUUGAUCCGCACUUGCAAUGAAAUACCUGUGUUGAAAUCAUUAGGUGCUGGUUCGCUUACAUUCAAUGACAAAUACAACUCCUCGAUGCUAUUAUUGCUUUGAGCAUUUUCAAUUAAGUACUUCAAAAAAACAGAUGAAAUGUGAACUGCAUUAACAGCCUUCGCAUAAACCUCCGAAGGUGCAGCAGAAUUCGAAACACACUCUUGCAAACACCAUGAUAAGUGAAUCAAAAUCUUCGCCAGAUGCCUAGAAUAACAAUUAUUUUGUGCAGCACACAAAUUGUUUUUGUUAAAAAUACAUAAUUUCUAUAAUUAUAGUUCCAAUAAACAGAGAAGCGAAUGCACUAAAAAAUGAUGAAGAGGGGGGGGAGAGAGAGAGAGAGAGAGAGAGCAUGGUUAGUGUGCGAAUAAAGUAACAAUUAAAGCAAAUACAGAUUAUAUAAUGCAGGAUAAGACAUUGAUGAACAGAGGAGGAGGUUUCGUGAUAAACUGACCGAAGAGAUUGCAGGUUUCAUGGAGAGAAUCUAUAGGAAACGUCUUCUCACCGACAAAUGAACCGAUUAAAUACUCGGCCGUGAGCACUGAUGACUGGAGUGAAGACUGAACUGAUCGUCGCCACUUUUAUGGUUGCUGGUUGGUUAAUAGAGAAGAGAUUAGGGAUUUGUUCUCAUUGAAAAGGAAGAAAGGCGAUGCACUGAUGACUGGAGACUUUGUUCUCAUUAGUGACUGUGCAUUUACCCAGCCAAUAGACAUCGGACAGCUGGAGCAUGGAGGGAAACAUUUACUUCAGUUUAUGCGUUUUGUUGAAAUCGUUCAAUCGGUACUGUGAUUUUUUGUGAUUCUGAUUUUAAUGAAUUCACCUUAUUUUAACCGAUGUGAUUUUAACAACAUUGAAUAGAGUCCUUUGAGUACAAUAAUGCAACAUCAUCUGAAUUAUCUCCUGAAUUAUGAUGAAAGAGAAAUUUUUAUGAGAAAAAAGAACUUUAAUUUGCUGUUCAAACGCCAGAUCGUAGGAGGUGCUGACCACCGGCGAGAUUUCGAACUGGAGCUGCGGUGGCUUUAUUCCAGCAGCCAAGCGAGGGUGGCAUGGGCUACAUGUUGUUUAUUUAGGAGGGCUAGUACUCUGUGACUAUGGUUUCGACCCAUUAUUCUCUUAAUUGAUGAUUAUGUUUGGGUGCGAUAUAAUACAAUGAAUGUAAUUAAUUGUGUAAAUAUUAAUUUGUUGGACUAUUAAUGUUUUAGUAAUGUAAUGGAGGUUUUUUUAUAUAAAUUCUUAUUUCAUUUUCUAAUUUUUUUUUGAACCUUUGUAUUUUAUUUUUAUUUACAAACUUAUCCUUAUUUGAAAAUUUUCUGGCCCUUACAUUUUUUUAAAAGUACAAUUUAGUCCUGACAAAAAUUUGUUGAUAAUUAUGUUUUCACAUAAUUAUUAUUAGUCGUGUAAUAGUACAUUAUAUAGCUUUUUUAUUUUAUAUAAUGUACAGAAUCACCAUAGUUGUAAUGGUUUAUCACAUUAUAAUUUUAAAAGCUACAAAAUCAAAUAUAGAAAUAUAAUUAAUAAUUAUAUUACAUGAUUUAGUAAAUUCAAUUAAACAUGAAGUAAUAGGUUAAUUAAUGGGUAAAUUGAUCAGCAGCCAGGCCAAACAAAUUAUUUGCUGCACCUAUUUUAGUGGUCUGCUACACACAAGAUCAAAACCAGCCAUGAAGGAGGCAACCUUUAGAAACAAAGACAGCUUCCACCUAUUACAAGGAGGAGGCAACCUUUAGAAACGAAGACAGCUUCCACCUAUUACAUGGGUCAGUAAACUGAGAACGCAACAAUGCUUGCUGCAGAUUAUUUGAAUUCAAACACGAGGAAACAGACGACUACAGCACAUGUGAUUCACUGCCACUCUAAUGCUUCACUCCUACUAGGGCUUGUGCGCUGUGUUCAGCUCGUGGUUCGAGUUAUUAAAUAACUGUAAGUUGACCUUAAUUAAUAAUUAUACUCCAUUUUUAUUUGGAAAAAUCACUCCAUCCUUCAUCUUAACAAUGUACAAAUAGUCAACAGAACUGCAAAUAGCAAUAGCAUAUUAAUUACCAGCAACCUUGAAAAAUAUGCACCUGCACCUCAUAACCAUUCUUAAAUCUUAAGCUCUGGUUAAUAAUGUAAAAAGAAAAACUCAUUAACCAAGCCUCUAAAAUAUAAUAUAGCAGCCACAAAUUCAAAGCACGGGAUCGGUUUAUUUUCACAGUUUAUACUUCCUCUUGGUAAAUGUUCGCAUCCUUUUCACUGCCCACUCUAUACAAAAUGACUUUCGGGAUUAUCUAUUUACAAGGAAAAAACGACAUCAUGCCAACUUAACGAGAUAAUGGUAUCUUCCUUGCCUCUUGGUGCAGAUAGACAAAAAGUCAACUUCUCAUGAUAAAUUCUGUCGGGCUUGCAUUCCAAUUUCAUAUAGAAUGGACAAUGCAACGAAAACGCUUCUCUCUUCUUUUAUUUUUUCGGUUCUCUCUCUUUUUAGUCUGCAGUGAAAGCCAAGCCCGAGCCCAUGGGGCAUGGGAACACCAACAUGCCAAUUAAAGCCACAAAUUUAUUGGGUCUCCUCCUCUGUUUAUUCAAUGUACAUCAUCCAAGUGCUAUACCUCCACACACAAGGAACUUCCUGACAAGAAUCAUCUUCUCUCGAGAAGACAAACUACCACAGGAGCAACUACUCCCGCCCUCCUUUUUUUUUUAUGGACACCAAAUUCUCAACCAAUGUAAAUUGGAAUAGUACCUUAUAUGUAUCUGGAAGAUUAAUUAUGGAAAUUGAUGGAGUGGUAUCAAGACCACACUAAUAUAUUCCUCCUGUACAGAAACCUCUUGACCAGCAAAACUUCUUUUUCUGCAUCAGGCAGACCAAAUCUUAAUCCCAAUAAACGAAACAUGGUGAUUUCGGUCUGUGCUUUAAAAUGCAUGUGUAAGACUAUAACCUUACCUGAAAACUUGCUUGUUCGCGACCAUCUACAUACGCAAGAAGUUCUUCUAGCCUGAUCAAAGCUUCGUGCAAAGCCUUUAAAUGAGAAGCAUGAUGGUUAGAGAUAUGUCAUGUGGACCACAACAACUACAAAAUUCCUUUCCAUCCAAAGGAACAUAUUACCAGUUUCAAGAAAAGAAAACUGAAAGCAAGUGGUUUGCUACAGUCAUCAACUUCGAUAAAAGACCAAACCUUUAUCAGAAAAUGCAAAUUUCAUGGACACAUGACUCUUGCGAGUUGAGAAUCCAGUGCCCACUUCAUUGUCCAGCUCAUUUUAUCUAAGUUUUUUUUUUCUUCCAGAUCAGAAUGAAAAGGCAUGCAUUCAUCGAGAAAUCCUAGUGGCAUCACAGGUUUGAUUUUCUUCUCGUUUUUUCCCACCAAACACAGUGGUUAGUCUCAUGACUCCUUAAAGAUGAUAAUCAGAUACCUAGUAGUUCAUCAUGUAAUCCAUACAAAACAUGGUCCGUGGAGAUGUCAUUUAGCUCUAACAAUAUAGGUUUACAUUUCUUAUGUUCUGGUUAAACAAGUCCUAAAAGUUCUAGUUAUUUGUUAAAUGCAGAAAAAACGGUGGUGAAGAGCCAUCAGGAAAAAAUGAGGUGUUGGCAUAUAAACCUAUUUAGCAUGUCCAACACUCAGAGAUCCAACCCCACCCCAACACACAUGGAGAUUCAUGUAUCUAAUAGCUUCAUGUUUGGUUGGUAAAGGCUUAUUUCUCCCAGCAGAAUAUCUAAGCAGGAGAGACAGUUACCUUUUUCGUUGCAAUUAGCUCUGCUUCUAAUGCAUCCACACGAUAAACUGCAGCAUUAAGCAGCUCCUCCUUUUCACAAGGCAUCUGAAAAGGCUUUGUCUGUAAUGUACCAACCUUCUCCUCAAGUUCACCCAGCCUUUUCAUGACAGAUGAAAGAAGGUCUGCCUCUGUAAACCCUGGAGCAGGAGAAGGGGGUCUGAAUUCCUCCUUUGGUGCUGUUUCAAAAGUCAGGUCAGUAAUGUCACUGGCAGAAUCAGAUGCUGGGUGUUUCUUAGUAUUCCAAAAUGCCAUUGAACGAAAGAAGGCAAGAAAGGUUAUGAAGAAGGCCACAAGCAAAGCCCAGACACGAGCAGGGAUCCCUUCGGAAGUCUUCUCUACACUUAACGGAGAAGGUGUGCCUGCAACCAAUUUCAUUAAUUUUAUUCAGCGCAUGAUAUAAUAUCAUAUCAAAUAACAUUGACUCCAAUUUAAACUAGUGAAGUCUUCGUGAAAUCCAACUAGCCAUAUGGAUGCCCCUUAUCAGAAAAGAUAAUAGAGCAUAAACCUAAAUCCAGGCAAAAAAAGAUCUGGGACUGUCAAUUAAUGUUCUCCCAAAACAAUAGGAGUCUUUAGGAUCUCCAUAUCAAGGCAAUCAAAGGUUAUGCUUUUAUAUUAAAGAAUCAUACAUACAACCUACUACGAUUGGUGUUCUUUUGACUUCUCCAAAGGAAACACAAGGAAAAUGUAACUCUUAUUAGUGAAACUACAAUAAAAGGGUUAUUACAUUUAACUUCAUUUCAAAGUUCACUUCUCAAGGCUGCCACAAUCCUAUGCCUUCGUAUGUUGGAACUCCCACCAAGUGUUAACUGCUACACAACGUUCUUCUACACAAAUUUUGUUAACUUGUUUUACAUCAAAUGAUACCAUCUUGUUCAAAGGUUCUAAAAAUCUACGUCAGUCAUUAACUAUUACCAAUCAGAAUUUCUCCAUACGAUAGAGUUGGUAGCAAAUAAGAAUGGUGCAGAAACUUGCUAACCUCUGGAAGUACAUAAAUCUUGAAAUUCAGCAUCCACCGUCUUGUCAAUCAUAGGUAUGUAUUCGUCAUAUUCAGAGACACUGGCAGUACUCAUCCUACCAGCCAUCCUGGCCUGUAUAAAACAUCCAAGCAUGGCCUAUGAGAUCAAUUAAUUUCAGAUAUUAGCAUUAUACACACACUCAGACACACACUCUGCAUUUCAUGCAAAGAAAUGGAUUCUGUUGGAAGAUACGUUAAUGCAUCAGUCUUCUAGACUGAAAGUCUGAAACAACUUUAACUGAACUUCAAAUAGACUCGUACAUUUAAACUUUCAGAAAAGCUUACUUCUUCAGAGACAGGAGCCAGCCUUGGCAGCAAAUAGCUCCCGGUUGGCUUAGGAGAGACAACAUCUUCCACUUCGGAUCCUGACUCUGCAGUGGAUGUAUCACUUGUUUUUACCUGGUUUAGCCAAAAAUAAAACCAAAUUUAGAGAGCAAGCAGUCGAAAUACUAUGUUACAAGACAAAAGCUGUCCUGAGAGAAUUUACCUUCACUGGAUAGAAUGGCUUAUCAAGAGCAAUUACCCUGCCCCCACUAUUUGAAAUAGUUACUAUUUGUCUGGAAUAUAGUGCUUCGCCACUAUGAACCAUCUGGACACAGGCAAAUAAUCAUAUAGCAUGAGUAUAUAAGAAAAAAGCUUAAUAAAAAAAAAGAGUGAAAAAGGGUUUCAAAAUACAACAGCACUGCUGAUAAUUUCAAGCAACUACCAACCUUUAAAAUGUUUGGAUCUUUCCAUGGCCCCCUAUCGGAUCUCAUACAACCUCCCUGAUCAGCACAAGUACAGCUACCCCCAAGAAACUCGGGCAACUCACUGAACAAAUUCCAAGAUAUUUUAAGAGGUUUUAGACAUUAUGUAUAAUUGAAAUGGAUGAUGAUUAGCAAGGAAAUAAUCAUAGAAUUGGUUACCUUGAGUCUAUUAUUUCAAGUAACUUGUUCUGGUACUUGUUACCAAGAACCUGUUAAAAAUCCAAAAUCAGCUAAUAUACUUCUGUUAAACUGUAAAUUUUUGGCAAUUCAACAAGAUUAAGGAAAGGACUGCUCACAUGAAUCUUGGAAGCUGUGUGGGAAUCAAUAAAAGAUCUCACUGUUCUCCAAAGCAGCUUAAAACCGGGACCAGCGUUAAUGACAUACAUUCUGCAAAGUGUCUGCACAAUUUGUUGUUUUAGCUCUUGUAAUAAAAUGACAUCCCAGCUUGAUUUUGAGACGGAACAUCUAGUGUUAAAAAAAGCUUCUAUGAAAAUUGCAAGAAAAAUCACAUGCCUCAGGAUAGUUGUCACCAUCAAUCUUCUGAAGCUGAAUGAUGAGUUCUCGUGCAGACUUGGUGAAGUUUUUCAAACCCUAAAGAACAAUUUUUUUGAACAAGAAUGCAGAAGGUAACAAUUUUAAUGAGUUACUAAACAAAAAUUUGAUAAUUAAUAAGGAAAAAAAGCAGCUACCAUACAAUUCCUUGCACAUCCAAAAUAGUUGUACUUGAAUCAAUGUGUCUCUUUGCAGCAAUGGUGCAAGCUGGAAACUUAAUCGCAAAAGUCCUUUCAAACUCCUGCACAUGAUAUCUCAAAUAUCUUUCUAAAGUGAUCACUUCCAUAAGUUUGCUGGAAUCAACUUUUCCUAGUCUUUCGAUGUAAACAGGUCUGCCAUCCUUAUCUACACCAUGAUAACCCUGAGGGUAGUACUUUCGAACUUCUUUCAACUCACUGAACUCAAAAUCCUGAACAAUAAAGUUUUCAACAUCUCUUAAUUAACAACACGUUACACUUUACAUCAGAAGAAAAAGGAAAAACAGCAAGAUUGUAUGAUACUAACUGCUAAACUCAAGAACAGCCCAAACGGAAGGAAGAAUUAAGCGUACAGAAACAGAGAAGGAUUGAAUCAGUGUUACCUCCAAAAUAGUGUCAGUACCGAAAUCUUUCCUCCACUGUAGCAUGUUGGCCCACAUCUGUUUUGCUUUCUCGACAUCAAACUUCCUUGCUUUUAAGAACCUGCAAAGCGAAACUCUUGGGUACUGAAGCUGCACAGAAGUUCUGGUAACUAUGCCUCAUUUUAAGCAUCAACAAAUAUGUGACUAUAGAAACAUUAAUAAAAGCUAGCACUUCUGAUAUGUACAAUAAAACUGAAUAUGAAACAGCCACUAUAGAGGCUCAUAUUAAAAGCCUAUUUUUAAUUGACUUUAAACCAAUAUGAACAGUGCAACUAACAAUGUUAAUCAUCCUCCCUCUCAUUACUUCUGCAACCGAAAUAGAAAUUCUGAAAGAAAAAGACAAAAAGAACUAAUGAAUUACAUGACAACGUAUACUAGGUGAGGUCAAAGUGGAGAUUCAAAAAGAAAUCAGGAACACAAUAACUUACAUCUUAACAUUGAAGACUUUGACCAGCCAAUCAUUUUCCUUCUUUUUUUACAGGCCAAUCUUAAUUUAUUUAUUGACAGCAAGUGGCAAAUUACAGAGUCAGCUCUUGAAUAUUAUUUAGAAAAGGAUGCAACAGCUAAAACACAACAAAAUGCAUUCAGAGUUUAAGGAAACAAGCAAUCAUUUAAGUAAUCAAUAAAUUAUAAUACAGAGUCUAACAAGAAAUCAAUAAGAGGACAUGUCAAGAAUUAAAAACCUGCAGCAGCCCCGAGUAUGACCGCUUCAAAAUAACAAAAAGCACAGAAAGCAAGCAAGAUAUUUUAUCAAAACAAUAAUAAGCACAACAAGCGAGCAAGGAAAAAAAAGAACCUCAAUAACAUGUGAUAAUCAUCAUGCCUGGGAGGAAGCAAAUCCUCCGAAAUAAGUGCCUGUUUAAAUGCAUCUACAAGCCGAAGCUCCUCGACAUCUCGAACAUCCUCAAUUGCAGCAGAAACCCCUCCACCAACACCUCCACUGCCGCCAUUGUUUUUCUUGCUCUUCUUGAGAGAACGCCUGAAUUUACUAGAUGCCUUUAUGGCUUUCUUUUUCAAACUCCCGAUUCUAGUCUUCCUAUCUUCCUCCGAGUUAUCAAAAUCCGAUUUCCGCUCCCUUUUCUCAUCAUUACUAGAGAAUCCCUCAAAGCCUAAAAGCCACAUAUAAGAUUAAAAAAAAAACUAAUAGGAAAUUUAAUUUCAAGGUAUUAUAAAAAUUCAUUACAAAUUAAACCACUAUUACCUUUCCAAAUUAUCAACGAAAUGAAAGACAAUUUUGGUACGGAAUUCAUGAGAACAAAAAAUUAACAGAAACUAACAAUAAUCGACAAUUCAAAUCCCUAGAAUCCAUUAAAAAAUUAAAUUAUCAAAUCAAAAUCAAUAGAAAUCAUAGAUUGAAGAUGUUAAAGAAACAGAACUUACAAGGCCGAGCUAAGAGAUCCAACGGACUCGACAUGACGAUAAUUUAGAGAUCAAGAUUACAAAAAGAAAUCAAAAACCAAUUCGAUUAAGAACUGCAACUGUUGAAUCGCUUAUUUGGAUCUGAUUUUGACGAAAUUAAGUAUCUUUAUGAUCUUUCAUGGACUCCUUGCUGCUGCUUAUGCUUGUAGAGGAAAAAAGUAGUCGUAACGGAAGGAGAAGGAGAGUUACGAUUUGGAAAUUGAUAAACCGAAGAAAACAAGAUAGUGGUAAUAAAUAAUAAUUAUUUGUGAAGCAAAUUCAAGUUUAAUAUUUUAACUGAAGAAGAGUGGAAGGUGGAAAGGCGGAGAAACGGCGCGUAUAGAUGCGGAAUUGCCUGGUUAAACUUGAUUUUGUUUGUGGGUCCUAUAGCCACGCGGCCGUAAGAGGUGGAGCCAAGUGGGGUUUCAGCUUUGGCGGGAAGUUUACUAGCCGACACCCCUGGGUCAUAGCAGUUUUGUUUUAAUUGCUUUUUUCUUGAAUUUGCAACUUGCAAGAAUUAUCUUUGGAUUUUAAUCGCAAAACUUGAGGGUUAUUUUCCUACAAUUUUGUGAUAAAUUGCUUUAAGAAUUAAUGAACCUUGUUAUUUUGCUUUAUAUUAUGUCACAUACAUCAUAUUUUCUUUAAUUUAUAUAUAUUUUAUAUUUUUUUAAUCAAAAUAAAUAAAGAGAUGGACUUGUUCGAGUGAGUAAAAAAAAAAUAUUAAAUUAUAAUGAAAUAUUAAAAAAUAUUAAAUUAAUAAUUUUUAUGUCAAACUAAUUUUUAAGAGUGCAUUUAUAAAUAAAAAAUCAGUUGUUUUUUAAAAUAUUUUUAUUUUUUAAAAUAAUAUUUUUAACAUUAACAAAUUAAAACACUCUGAAAAUAUAUAAAAAAAUAAAUUAAUUAAAUUAAAAUUUGAUAAAAUAAUGGUUUCACCGCCAAAUAAAACACCUUCUAGAACGCAUAUAAACACGGUUUUUACCACAAAAACAAAACUCAUCGAAAACAGGGUCGGUUCAGAAGUUUUCUAGUCUAACCGGUUUAACGGUGUACUAGAGCUGCUCCAAAAACCAUCCUUUUCAUUUAUCAUUUUUUAUCGAUAACUAGAAUCUCUCGGACCUUCGUUUACAAAAUUAAAAAAAAAAAAAUCAGCUAAGAUAAAAGAAACUCAUUUUUCAGCUUCCGAGCCACCAAGAUAGACUCUUUAAUAAGAAGCAAAGCCUGGUUCAAAGGAAGAGGGCCAUCGGGUCCCUUGCUGAUUCUGUAAUUUACACUUGCGUGUUUCGAAAUAUUCUGGGCACGAAUUUUCUAAUCUAAUUACAGUAAACGCCUUCCUCACUUCUUCGAAUAUCCCCAGAUUUAAAACGUGUUGCUUGCUUGACUUCAUGACCACUGCCCAAUUUAAGGGAUCAUGGAAACCUCAUGAGUUGAUAACGUAAAUAUUGCAGAUAUUUGUAUUUUGAAAGUGUUUAAAAAAAAAUUAAAACAAAAUUAUUUUUUUAUUUUUUUUUAAAUUAACAUGUUUUUGAUAUUUUUAUAUCAUUUUAAUAUAUUAAUAUCAAAAUUAAUUUUUUAAAAAUAAAAAAAUAUUAUUUUAAUAUAUUUUAAAAUAAAAAAUAUUUUAAAAAACAACACGAAACUCGUAAUUCCAUGUACAAUACUCGUAAUUCUAUGUGAUGAGACAUGUCAAGAAUCCUUACAACCACCUGAGGUCACUCUUAUUUAUCAUCUGCCAUUUGGUCUAAUCUUAAGAUUUCCUUUAAGAAGAUUUGAAUUUUCUCUUCGGGUGGAAGUAUGUUGAGUCGUGUCGGCAUAACUCUUGGCAAAGAGAUAACCUACUCCAGAAAAUAAUCCCAGAAAUCAUGUUCGGGUUGCCUCUCUCUCACGCAUGGCUAUGGUCCGAAGUUGAUGGAGAACAACAUCCAAUUCUACCGUGUCAAACCAGGCUUAGCAUAAGCACAAAAUAAACAUGAACACGGCAACACAGAAAUGCAGGCAACGCCCUUUGAAAGGAGGCACUUGGGAAAUCUAUCUAAACCCAAGGGGGGAGAAGACAAGGGUCAAGCUGGAAAUGCCCUCACCAAUCAGGCAAUCACCAUGCAGAGUUUUAACAGGCAUCGAAUCUGACAGAGACAUUCGGACCUAGGAAUAACGAGUAUUAAACAAAACACACACAUACAAGAGAGAGUCAUCUUCAAUAUCAUUUACUGGAUUUCAAACAUUUAUAGGGUGCUGUGAUUUUAGAUACCCUUAAGACAUGCUUUGGCAAAAGCUAUAGUGCAUAAGGCCGUGAAACGUUUGAUGCCAAGGCAAAUCUCUUGCGUGAUUAAAUAGCUAAUGAGCAUUGCCUUCCAUACAAGUAAUAUGCGGAAAUGAACUGUAGUCAAUUGCUUCCAACAUUACACUAGCAAAGUUUAUCUAUACAUAUAUUCACAAACUUGCUACGUACAUAUUGAUAAAAGGGGAACGCAACAUAAUCCCGCCAUCCUCAUCAGCUUCCAACAAUGGUUUAUAUGCACAAGUUUAAGCUGUGAGAACUGAAACAGCCAAGAAUAAACAACCUGUUAGUUAAUCUUUUUCAAUUGAAUCAAAUCCAAGAAAAUUUUCAUUUGGAAUUAGACACUGAUUAGAUUUCCACCUUUUACGUAUAUUUCUUCAAGUUCCUCUUUGCUCGAAAUUGACCAAGUUUGUCUCUCCAUUGAGCUGUAGAAAUCACGGAAAUUAUGAAGAUAGCAGCAGUGAAAAUAACUAAUUAGCAUGCUAAAAGUAUGGGGGCCACAGUGCGGUUUCAAUAGACAAAGGGCAACUUAGGAAAAUUUUGGAACCAGACCUUUCAGAAUGAUGAACAGCAGGGAGUUUUAAAGUUUAAACCCACAAGUUAUUAUUACAUUUGACUUUGUGUUCAAUCACAAGUUAUUUAUGUAGACUGGUAUGUGCAGUGCAACGAUACAAGAAAAACCAAUCUGGUUUGUUUCAAAUUGAUGAUGGCUAUUGGCUAAAUAGACAAAGGAAGCCACAGGGGGGGGAAAAGUGCAGGAAACAUGCAGCCAAAAGGCAAUGGGCGAAAGAGAUUGAAAUGAAACAUACCAGCAUCUCCAUAACGCUCCUCAAUGGCAGCAGUCAACAUGUUGCGCACAAGAUCAAACUCCUUGGUAUCAAGACAAGGUUGACCAGUGGGCCUGAACCAUAUUAAUUCCAAUUACACUUUUCUUUCUCCAAGCAUAGGCAUAAUUUAGAUGGAUUCAAUUACUUACUGUGCAAAUUACUAAUUCAGUUAUCAAUCUGAAAAGGAUGCCAAACUAUUGAUAGUUAACUUUAGAGUCACACACAGUAGCUAUAUUCUUGAAUCUAGGAAAGGCCACAUUAAUCCCUGAACAUGGACUACAAAACCCUUGCACAUAUACAAAGUCCUGACUUCACAUAUCUUGACUGGUGAACACCUGCUAUCUAAAGAUUUUGAGGCUCACCGAUCUAGUUCAGUGAAUAACAAGCCAUUGAAGCAUGGGACUGAAUUGGCUUUCCAGAUUCAUGACUCUCAUCCCAUCACUGUAUGCCAGGUAUUUAUUGACUUGAAUAGGAACCUGCACAGAAUUAGAAAAGAUGCACCUCUACAAAUCAGCAAACCAUGGACAAGUUUGUGAGGGGUUCAAUUUAAACACAUGAAAGAAUGCUAAAAUUCCAACAGGCUGCAAAGCAAAAACUCGAGAAACCAGCUGGUCACUUCAGCAGUUGGCCUCUAACAAGAUUUAUUUCAGUUUACUACUUAAGUGACUCCACUGCAAAUCUUGAAUCAAACUUUCUUCUCAUUCCUAGUAGACAAACAAUUAUCAGAAAGUUUCUCUCUCUUUCCACUAAAAGGAAAGGGAAAAUGAUGCAGGAAAAACAGAGAAACAACUAACAUCUUAAUGAUUGAAAGUACUAACUAGCAUGUAGGUGUCAAACUCUGCAUCAUGAUUUGACAUACUUCACCAAGAUAAAGAUUUAAGGAUUUCACCAUUACAUGCACCAGAUAUGAAACGGACAUGAAAAUCCAUCUGACACAACAUUCCGCAACAAAGAUGUAUGCAUUAGCAUUUCACAUUCACAUAUACCAGAUACAAAAAGUCAUACAUGAAUACCAUUUCAGUCAACAUUUUUAGGGCUUUUUUCAACAGGAAAUGUCAAUAGGGCUUGUGCCUUCACCCAGUCAAACAAACUUUGGCUUAGAAUAUAUUUGGUACACAGCCAACAAAAAGAUAGGAAUUCUGUCCACAAUUCCAAAUGAGAUUUUACUUGAAUGUCCUCCAUCAUGUAGACAACAUGCUACUAUUCUUCAAAUUUUUCACAUAAAUGGGGGGGAGGGGGCAAGAAACGGAGUACCUUGCAUCUAACUGCUAUAUUGAUAGCAUCUGAUGGACGAAGAUCAAAGCUGACACAUUCUGUUUCAUUACCAAUCUGCAACAAUGUCAAGGUGUAAACCCCUUAUACCUGUAAUUAUACAAGUUAGUCAAAUCAAAUGAAAAACAAGGGGUAUACCUUAGUGAGGUACAACUGAGCAAAGUAUGCUUCAUGCACUCUCUUAGUAACUCUUACGAGUUUGACCUGAGCAUCAUAAUCAAAACAUCGGAGUAAAUUUAUUUAUUUUUUGGAUAAGAAACAUAGGACUGAAUUGGUAAUAUUUCAAUUGCAGUGGCAAACAAUAAGGAAAGAAGAUUUCAUAUCUCCAUAGAUUUUCUACGUUGAAAGCUGUAAUCUGCCAUAUGACAUUAAGCUAUUUGUACACUUCCAUGUUCUCAAGCCUAGCCUCUCUCUCUCUCUCUCUAAUGAAAAGAAAAGAAGAAAUACCAACUUACUUCGUAACCCAUUUUUUCAACCAUCUCCUUCACCACUUGAUACAUAGUUGGCCUUGCCUGGAAACCGACAGCCAAAUUCCUCAGCAUUGCUAUAUAUGAAACAAAUCCAAGUAGUUGCCAAAGUCCAAAUUUGACAGCUCAAUUAUUCCGAAAUAAAAAUCCUACCACAGUAAGGAAGCUAAAUACAUACAAUUUGGACAUUGCGCACUGCUGCCAUGAGCAACACACUUGGCAUCUCCACUGCAAUCAAAUGUAAAUCAUCACUUCAAAAAGACAUAGGAAGCAAUAGUCUUCAAAGUGUUUCAAAGAAUCAAAUGCUAUACAUUCGAAACUAUCAAGUAUAACAGUGAACAUACAAACAAUAAUUGGGAGAAGAAGACCAGUCCCGUCUUCCAUCUUCAAUACAAUUGCUGGAUGCGGAGCGUUGUCUGGUAGAUGCCCACCUUGAGGGUUGUUGUGGACACAUCGUAAGUGCCUCCCAUCCCUCAUUUUGAUCACAAAACCAUCCGAUCCACUCUUCACCUCAACUACAUGAAAAGCCCAAUUCAAAUUAACAAUUCACGUUUCACCCCAAACAAACCACAUUACACAGAAAACUUCAUUGAUUACUCAAAUAGCGCUAGGCUGAGUUUGGUUCGUGUACGGACCAGAAGCAAGAGAUACAGGAAAGAUAAAAACAUGUUUGGUUUACGAGACAAUGACAGUAAAAAAGUGAAAUUUUAUACUUUCAGAACAUGAACAUGAAGAGCAAAAACAUGUCCCUCUGUCAUAAAUGUCUCCGUCUUUUCUAUUCUAGACAAUAAAAAAGGCUACGCUAAUAAAAUUCAAAGGCAAACCAUACCAGCUUCAACUACACUAGAGUUGACAUAAUCUCCAUGAUUUUCAUUGAAAUUCUCUGCUGUACUCCCAUUACCAUCUGAUGAUGAGCUCAAACUACACUGCACUACACUGCAUCUUCGCGCUUUUAGUUGCCGAGAAGUAAGAACCACCUUAGAUUUGCAACCACUUAAGCCCUUAAAUCCCCGCAAUUCACUUCUAAUAAGCCAACCCUUCACCAACGGACCAGUCAUCGGGAAGCUGUAAGUUCCCGCUUGUUUUGCACGCACAGCAGGAUAAAUUACUGGUCCUUGCAGUGACCCCAUGUCUCCGCCUCCGAAAAAACAAAUCAACUAAAACAAACAUAUACACGAGAGGUUAAAAAUGUAAUUAACAGCAAAACCGAGGUGAAAUUGAAGAUAUAUAUAUAUAAUUUACAAUUUAUGAUCAAAGGAAGAAACCGUAUCUUUUCCAAAAUUAGAAACAAAAAACAUAAUAAUUAAAUAAUUUUAAAUUUAUAAAAGAAAAUCCACACUGUUCAAAAUUUUAUAUGAUCAUCUUCUCCACAAAUCAAACGAAGAAUCACGAAACUGAAAAUCAAAAAAUAUCCAGAACGGGAACGCACCUGAAAAACAACGGGUCACGUGUAAACAGUAAAACCUUCAGUUUCUCGAUCUUGUAAUUACAAUUUUAUGUAGAAACGAUCGAAACAAAUUAAAGAAAAUAAAGGAUCAAAGGAGAUGAAGUGGGUUAGUUGUUAAAGGAGGCUUAAGGAAUUGAGAGCAUUUAGAGAUGGGAGAAGCGACAGGAGGCAUCAGAUAAAAGGAGGAAUGAGAGAUGGGGGGCGAGUAGAUAAGAGAUUCUGUUUUUUUGGCUUGGCUAAGGGAGGGUGUGCGAGAGCGAGAGAGAGAGAGCGAGGGGCGGGCGGGAGAGAGAAUGAAGGAUAUAACUGGAGAGAGGUAAGCUGGGCUUUUCUUAUCGAUUUUUUUAGAAAAUGACAGUUUUAGCCUUGUCAGUCUGUUUAAUGGCAUACGGGUGGUAUUUUAGCUGUGUCCGAAUGACAAGACACCUUGAUAUGUGAAAUUAUAAUCGUGCUGAUGAUUUUUACUGGUGAAAAAUAGUUUUUUAAAAAAAUAAAUUUUAAAAAAAUAAAUUAUUUUCUGAUAUUUGAUAGUAUAAUAAAAAAUAAAUUAAAAAAUAUUUUUUAGUGUUUAGUUAUAGAAUGAAAAAUGAGCUAGAAAAUAACUUAUUAAUAUUUUAUUUUUCUCAAGUUUAUUAAAAUAAUGAGGCACAAAUCUUACAAAUUAAAAAGUUGAAUGAGAAAGAAAUUAAAAAAAAUAUAAUUUUAUAAAUUAUCUCUAAUAAAAUAAAUAAUAAUAAAAAUAAUAGAGAUCAAAUCUAGAAAAUAAAAUAGUUUAUAUAUAUUAUAUAUAUGUUCUACAAAUAUAUUUAUAUAAUAUAAAUAUAUAUUCCAGGUUAUAGUUAUAAGAUGAUUUUUAUAUCGAAUUUAAUAAUAUUUAUAUCUUAUUUAUUUUCUAUUAAAUAAACUAUUUUAUUUUUUUAUUAAAUAAUAAUGAAUAAUAAAUACUUAUAUAAAUAUUCAAAAACAGGUGCCAUUCCCAUUCAAAUCCAUUAAUCAAACGCAUAAUUUUUUCUUACGGUUGUCACUCAAAUGUCACCAUUAAUUUUUUUGGCAUUGAAUAAUUUAGUAACUGUACAAUGAUCGAGUGAAGUUCAUUGGGCUGAGAACCCAUUUUCAGUUGGAUAUAUGGCCUGUAUUUAGCCAAUACCCCAAUUAACAGGACCCCUAAUAUUGGGCCUACCACUUAAUUCUCAACUAAGAAAUAUUAGCCCACAGUGUGUGUGGUGAGCAGCCCAUUUAGACGAUACCGUUUCCGAACAUGACAAACACAUUGAAGAUACGGGAAGGCUUCAAGAAACAGAGUUUGAUAAAAAAAUAUUUAAAAAAAGUCUUGACAUGUGCUUCACAAGUGUAGAAUAUUGUUGAACUGUUUCUCUACGGCGUCGUAUGUUUCACCUUGAGCAUUUGAUUACAUAGAACAGGAAAAAAAAUAAAAUUCAAAUCAACAGUCAGUGAGGACAUUUUACCUACGCAGUUGUCGAAUCACUAACAAGCCACAAAAGCACCAUCUGUAAAUUAGAUGAAAAUCACAACAUCAUGGACAACAGAUGAAAAGCAUCCGAUGAUUGAUAUCAUAGCAAAGAAAUAAAUGAAAUCUGAUAUUACUGUCAUCCAAAAAGACAUGAUCUGAUUGAUAAGCUCUUAGGAUUCUUGUUACCUUGGUUGCAAGUAGUCGAAGAGAUUAAGCACACGAGCAGCCAUCAGAAAAACGAAGACGUGAAAAAGAAAACCAGAAGGAUACAUUGAAGGUGGUUAAGAUUUGACAGGGUAACCAUCCUACCUUGUCAUCUGCCACUUGAGAUAAUUUCUUCAGCCAGUCUUACAUACAUUUCUUUUUUUAUGAACGAAAUAGUUUCAUUAAUCAAACCAAUCAGCAGUCAAACUAUCCUGCUUGCAGACAAAAAGUGUUUACAAAGAAGAAGAAACCACUAUCAACUGGCAACAAAACAUUAAUACCUUCAAAAUAUUAUAACUGACAUAUCUCAGAGAACUUGGAACUUCAAUAUUGCUUCCUGCAAUAAAUUGGAUCUGUAAACAAACUAUUUUGUACUGCUUGAAUGAUGCAUGUACUCCUCACCUUUCUCAAAAAUCAUCUUCGGAAGAAAUGAGAAAUCCUUUACCUCAAACCUAUUAGAAUUCGAUUUAACGUCAUUACACUUUCCACCAGUCUUUCCAGCAAUAGUUUCAUUCUCAGAGUUCCUCACAUGAACAUAAGUUACAAAAGAAUAUCGAAAGCCAUUUUCAACCAAUGGUGGAGACGAAUACCAAGGCUGAAACUUAGAAAAAUCAAUGCUUGGAAUGAACGUAUCACACUCAACACUCGACUCAAUCUCCGUAACAUGGAUGGCAUCACAUCCUGGACCAUUAAGUGUUUCCCUGCAUCAAAAAACCAAAAUAUUCUGUGUAGCACAGUUGAGACUAGCACGGAAAGUAAAGCAUUCAUUGACUAGCAAAAUUACCUCAAUAUCUGGCCACCUCCUAUGACAAAAACCUUAUCAAUUGAGAAACAAUAGGGAGUUUCAGCUAACAAUUCCAAAGCUGAGGAAAUGCUCCCACAUGUAAUAACAUUUUCUUCAUCUUCAAUCUCAAAACUCCGAGUCAGGACCACAUUCAAUCGAUCCGGAAGAGGUCGGUACUUGAUAGGAAUACUUUCCCAUGUUUUCCUACCCAUCAAAAUUGCAUUUUGUUUCCCGGGAUCCGAUGUGGCCAGUGUAACCUCCUUGAAAAACUUGAGAUCAGAAGGCAAUCUCCAAGGUAACUUUCCAUCCUUUCCAAUCCCCAUAUCUCGAGUAGCAGCCACCACAACUUGGUAACUCCUCAUUGGAAUCUCACCCGCUAUAGCAGUAAACCGUCUGUAAUUUGAAGUUAAGAUUUGAAAUUUAAACAGCGGUGAGGUUGC
rnacentral:lncRNA from 1 species